GCUACGGGUGGCAGCAGGAGGGAAUAUUGCGCAAUGGGGGAAACCCGGAAGCAGCAACGCCGCGUGGAGGAUGAAGGUUUUCGGAGUGUAAACUCCUUUUGUUAGAGAAGAGAAUGACGGCACCUAACGAAUAAUCACCGGCGAAAUCCGUGCCAGCAGCCGCGGUAACACGGGGGGCGCAAGCGUUACUCGGAAGCACGGGGCGUAAAGAGCGCGUAGGCGGGAUAGCAAGUCAGAUGUGAAAUCCUAGGGCUUAACCGUAGAACUGCAUUUGAAACUGGUGUUCUAGAGUAUGGGAGAGGUAGGUGGAAUUCUUGGUGUAGGGGUGAAAUCCGUAGAGAUCAGGAGGAAUACUCAUUGCGAAGGCGGCCUGCUAGACCGUAACUGACGCUGAUGCGCGAAAGCGUGGGGAGCAAACAGGAUUAGAUACCCUGGUAGUC
rnacentral:rRNA from 1 species